rnacentral:misc_RNA from 1 species
GUGAAUCAUCAAAUCUUUGAACGCAAAUUGCGCCUUUUGCGAAAGGCAUGUCUGUUUGAGGGCACCAUUUGACAAAUAAUGUGCAGCGUUGUGUGGAUGUAUGACGUGCACACGUUGAUGAGCUUUUCAAUAAUUUUAAAUUUUUGGUGGCACAUAAUGAACAGCGUGAAAGUUCUGUUCAUUUCGAGUU